rnacentral:tRNA from 1 species
UGGCUCAGAGGUAAAGAGCACUGGUUGCUCUUCCAGAGGACCUGGGUUCAACUCCCAG